CAGGCUUAUAGAAGUAUGGUCCUCCUUCCUUUUUUCCCAAAGCAGAAAAACGAGCAGCUCAUGUAACUUAUUUCAGUUGUCCACUAACGUUGAGUAGGAUACUGCACGUAUAAGAUGAAGUUUAGGUUGUUUUUUAAUUUGGCUGCCAUUUUGGGAUCAGGAUGGGCAAUUCCAUUGGAAAAUCUUGAAAAAAUCAGAGUGACAGACAGUGAAGAGAUUGAAAAUCUUCGGAAAACACCUCAGGCUACUGUAUAUUUUGCUGGCGAAUUUAAGAGUGUCUCAUGUCGAGAAACCAGGGGUCUUUUAGUAGUGGAUUUAGAUAACAGCCAAUAUGAACUGACCACAAUUCUAGGCUACCAGGUGGGAGCAGAAUUUUGUCGCCAAACUAAAGGUCCUUUCUGCAAUCAAGUCCUGAAGCCAUCCACAUUUUAUAGGGUAAAUUUCCUCUUUUUGGAUGACAAGUCCACAAUACGAGCGCAGACAGAUUGGUCACCAGCCAUACAAACCAGAAAUGUGACAAAUUAUGAAUCNGCCGACGUGAUGUUCGAAGGGAGAUCUGGUGGAAUGAUAGUAAUUACCAUUCUGGUCUCAGUGGGCGGGGCUGUGCUAGUGGUGGCAUUAAUUGUGGCAGUAGAUUUUUCCAAUAAGAAAUAAUAAGUCAGUCAAAUCANUGUUCAUCUUCUUCUAAGUUAAGAGCGGCUACAAAAUUGUCAGUCUCAGAAUUUAUUUGGAGAAUCAAAAAAGUAACAUGUACUCAGACAAAAAAAAAAAAAAAAUCAAGCAUGCUGAAUAAUGAAAAGCAAACAAUUAAAACUGUACGUUUGUCAUUUAUUCCAAUCACAUUUUUCAACUGUGUAUCUAAAAUAAAAAUUCACAUGAAUGCA
rnacentral:lncRNA from 1 species